rnacentral:tRNA from 1 species
GGGCCCGUAGCUCAGCACGGACAGUAGCGUCGGCCCUCUAUCAAUAGAGGAUAGCCGAAGGUCGAGGGUUCAAAUCCCUCCGGGCCCG